ensembl:scaRNA small Cajal body-specific RNA 1
GAGCACUUGAUACUAACCGAGCCAUCAGUGUCCCUGUGAUUGCUGGGUCUGCAAAGUGCUACAGCAAAACAAGCCAUGCAGUGUUUAAGCUCAGUGUGUGAAGAAAGACACUGGGUUAUAGCUCAGAGGCACAGAA